CCCACCGUGGCGACGAUGCGUAGGGGUUCUGAGAGGAAGGUCCCCCACACUGGUACUGAGACACGGACCAGACUCCUACGGGAGGCAGCAGUGAGGAAUAUUGGUCAAUGGGAGAGAUCCUGAACCAGCCAAGCCGCGUGAGGGAAGACGGCCCUAUGGGUUGUAAACCUCUUUUGUCGGAGAACAAAACCCGGGACGUGUCCCGGACUGCGUGUAUCCGAAGAAAAAGCAUCGGCUAACUCCGUGCCAGCAGCCGCGGUAAUACGGAGGAUGCGAGCGUUAUCCGGAUUUAUUGGGUUUAAAGGGUGCGUAGGCGGUCCGUUAAGUCAGCGGUAAAAUUGCGGGGCUCAACCCCGUCGAGCCGUUGAAACUGGCAGACUUGAGUUGGCGAGAAGUACGCGGAAUGCGCGGUGUAGCGGUGAAAUGCAUAGAUAUCGCGCAGAACUCCGAUUGCGAAGGCAGCGUACCGGCGCCAGACUGACGCUGAGGCACGAAAGCGUGGGGAUCGAACAGGAUUAGAUACCCUGGUAGUCCACGCAGUAAACGAUGAAUGCUGGUUGUCCGGGUCGAAUGAGACCUGG
rnacentral:rRNA from 1 species